UAAACUGUUUCCAGAUAAUUUCUACCAAGAUUUGAUUAAUUAAUGGAAUUUUUAUUAUUGUUAUAAUUUAAAAUAAUCAUGUAACAUAUGCACUUUUCUAAAAGCAUUUCUUAAUGCAUUUUCAUUAUUUAUCAUGGAAGCACAUACUAGGUUGUCAGUAUAUACUGAAAUUUAAUUUCACCUCCUACAGAAAUGAGGGACAGAGGAGAGAACAAACAAGUCAGGUACUAUCAUGAACAGUCAAGGACCUAUUAAAUCUUCAUGCUACCUAACCCCUCUGCUAAGUUACAUCAUUUCAUUCAAACUUUGUUGAAUUCCUACGAUAUGUGUCAUAACACCAGUUUGAAAUCUUUCCAAAUUUAAGGUGAAACACCACUCUUAAAUCCAUCCUUCUUAAAUUACCUUGCCUAUUAUUUUUCCAAGAAAAUUAAGAUAAGUUAUCAUGAGUUUAUUCAACUUCCUCUGACUUGUCACUCAUUCAACUAGCCGUUCAAAAACACUUAUUCAUAUCUUAUGUUCCAGCCACUCUACUAGAUGUGGAGAUUGAAAAAUGAGAAAGUUCUGCCCCUUUUCCUUCAAGAAACAUACAUACAGCCUAGGAGAGACAGAGACAUGCAAAAAAAAAAAAAAUGAAAAUAUAGUUAAAAUUAGAGGUACAUAUAAGAAGCUACGGAAGUACAGACAGGUUGCCUUGGAGGCUCAGGAAAGCCUUCAAAGAAGGAUUAAUUUUCAAACUGAGUUUUAAUUAACAGAACUGGACCACACAAAAGAAGAAACAGAAUGGAAAAGUAAAAACAGAAAUUCCACAAAAAAAAAA
rnacentral:lncRNA from 1 species